UACGAAGGGGGCUAGCGUUGCUCGGAAUCACUGGGCGUAAAGGGUGCGUAGGCGGGUUUUUAAGUCAGGGGUGAAAUCCUGGAGCUCAACUCCAGAACUGCCUUUGAUACUGAAGAUCUUGAGUCCGGGAGAGGUGAGUGGAACUGCGAGUGUAGAGGUGAAAUUCGUAGAUAUUCGCAAGAACACCAGUGGCGAAGGCGGCUCACUGGCCCGGUACUGACGCUGAGGUGCGAAAGCUAGGGGAGCAAACGGG
rnacentral:rRNA from 1 species